CUCUCUCAUAUCGUUUAACAGCUUUUUAUACGCUUUAUAUAAUUUAUUCUCGUUCUUAUCAUUUUGAAAACAAUUAUCAAACCCCCUAUGAUCUUUUGUUCAAUAGAAUUACUGUAAAGAUUUGUGCUUAUUACGCAGUCCUAGAGAUCGAUACUCGGGAUAACUCCCAUUUUAUUACUACAUUGGUGCAAAUAAUACACUUGCUAUUUUACCGAUCACUAAUCGUCUAAACUCGAAAUCCUCUCUCCAUCAAUUCAACCUAAUUCUCAACCAACCAAACAAUCUCUUACGCCUCUCAUAUCCUAAACUCGCUAUAUCAACGUCACGCCGGACGCCGAAUGGAAACAAUAAGAGAACCAAAAUAUGAGCGUAAGACCAACACACGACUUAAACAACGCUCGGAGAAGAAGAGCUUACCGCGGAGGUGAAGGCGGCGUCGAUUCCGAACUCACGCGAUCUUCUUGUUCAUUCUUCUCCUUUUCGAUUCUUCUUGGCGAUCGAUUCGGUUACGAAUUCGCUUGUGAUUUGUUCUGCAGGUUCUUUCAGACUUGGUGUGAAAUGACGACCGGCUUUGAAGCAGCUAUGGUGGCGACGGCGGAAGAUGCGAUGUCGUUGAAGCGCAGCGGUGGCAGUGUCGGUGAUGGGAGUUCUUUGUAGAAUGUUGCCCCCGAGAAGAAGCCUCAACUCAGCUUCUAUUUAUAUAGCAUUUUGUUGAUGUCGUUCGGAUUUUGUUUGGCGUUGCAGCUUUUUACAUGCUAUUCAAAGCUGCGUUCUGAUGUUCCGCUUAACUUGCGCUUCGAGCCGCUGCAUUUUGUAGCUGCGUUUUGUUCACAGUUGUUGUAGCUUAGUCGUUUUGAACGUGGUUUGAGCUGCGUUUGGAUGGCUUCUGUUUUGGCAUUGGCUUGCAGUUGUUAUCCUUGGCUUAUGUAGCUCACAUUGUCUUGCAUUUUUGGAAGUUUGUUGUGUUGCUUUCGCGUGAGGCUUUUGGAGUUUCAGCUUGGAAGUGUAGCGCACAGCUGGGAGUUUUGGAAGCGUUAGCGGAAUUCGCCGACAUGCGAUUUCGCUUUCGGCUUGAGUAGUUUCAUGUUUUCACUUUUCAUUGCUGUUUGUGUUUGUGCUGUGUAGCUUGUUAUUGGCCGGUAGCUGCGAUUGAAGUGUUAGCAUUUACCGUAGGAGCUUUAAAGCACUGCAGCGGCUUGGCUUGCUGUGAAUGCUUCAGCUUAUGUUGUAGUCGGUACCUAGCAUCAUAGUGCAUACCGUCACAUUGUAGUAGCUAGUAUUAGGAAGCCGCUUUGUGCAGUCUUGGAUGGUAGUUGCGAUGGCUUGCCUUUUGUUUCAACUGGCUUGUUUCUGCGUUUCAAUGCAUAUUCUGUUUUUAUUCCUUUUGAUUGUACUGCAGGUAGUGUGGUAGUUUGUACUGUUGACCACGUUCUCUUUUGAUGCAACGUUUUGUUUCUACCUUCAUUUUGCAAUUUUGCCUUUCCAAUCCCGACAAAUACCUUAUGUUGUACUUCAUUUCCAAUUCCAAUAAACACAUUAUGUUGUACUUGAUGGAAUUUGAACUUA